UUCUAGGUUGACCUCGGAUCACGUAGGGAUACCCGCUGAACUUAAGCAUAUCAAUAAGCGGAGGA
rnacentral:rRNA from 1 species